rnacentral:rRNA from 1 species
AACGAACGCUGGCGGCGUGCUUAACACAUGCAAGUCGAACGCGAAAGGGGCUUCGGUCCCGAGUAGAGUGGCGCACGGGUGAGUAACGCGUAAGUAAUCUACCCCCGCAUUCGGAAUGACUCGUCGAAAGGUGAGCUAAUACCGGAUACGUUUAUCUUGGUGCGAAUGAUGAUAAAGAAAGGUGGCCUCUUCAUGAAAGCUACUGUGCAGGGAUGAGCUUGCGUACCAUUAGCUAGUUGGUAGGGUAAUGGCCUACCAAGGCGACGAUGGUUAGCGGGUCUGAGAGGAUGAUCCGCCACACUGGGACUGAGACACGGCCCAGACUCCUACGGGAGGCAGCAGUGGGGAAUUUUGGACAAUGGGCGCAAGCCUGAUCCAGCCAUGCCGCGUGAGUGAAGAAGGCCUUCGGGUUGUAAAGCUCUUUCGGCCGGGAAGAAAUCGCAUCAGCUAAUACCUGGUGUGGAUGACGGUACCGGAAUAAGAAGCACCGGCUAACUACGUGCCAGCCGCCGCUGUAACAC